AAUCAACGCUGGCGGCGUGCCUAACACAUGCAAGUCGAACGCGAAAGGGGCUUCGGCCCUGAGUAGAGUGGCGUCCGGGUGAGUAACGCGUGGGUAAUCUACCCUCGGGUGGGGAAUAACCAAUCGAAAGAUUGGCUAAUACCGCAUAAUGCAGCGGCUCGACAUCGAGACAGUUGUUAAGGCAGCAAUGCGCCAGAGGAGGAGCCUGCGUCUGAUUAGCUUGUUGGCGGGGUAACGGCCCACCAAGGCUACGAUCAGUAGCUGGUCUGAGAGGACGGCCAGCCACAAUGGCACUGAACACGGGCCAUACUCCUACGGGAGGCAGCAGUGGGGAAGUUUUGCACAAUGGGCGAAAGACCUGACGCAGCAACGCCGCGUGAAGGAUGAAAUCCUUCGGGAUGUAAACUUCGCAAAUAUGGGAAGAACACAAUGACGGUACCAUAUGUAA
rnacentral:rRNA from 1 species